rnacentral:rRNA from 1 species
UACGUAGGUGACAAGCGUUGUCCGGAUUUACUGGGCGUAAAGAGCGCGCAGGCGGUCGUUCAAGUCGAGUGUGAAAGCCCCCGGCUCAACUGGGGAGGGUCAUUCGAUACUGAUCGACUCGAAGGCAGGAGAGGGAAGUGGAAUUCCCGGUGUAGUGGUGAAAUGCGUAGAUAUCGGGAGGAACACCAGUGGCGAAGGCGGUUGCCUGGAGCUUUGCUGACGCUGAGGCGCGAAAGCGUGGGGAGCGAUCCGG